CAUUAAAAUGGAAACAAUAAAAUACCACCAUACGGAUCAAAAAGCAAAAAGGAUUAGUCAUUUAGUCAAGAAAGCAGCAGGAAGUGGACAAAAAUCCAUUCAUAAUACUAUUAAAAAUCAAUUAUCAAAAUCAGCACCUAGAUAAAUUUACUUGUUUGAAGUUUCCGAAGCAGGAGAUGGAAUUAUGGAAAGGCAUAAUAUCUUCACAAAAAUAACUGGAAAACAGCCUUUGUAGACGCAAAGACCAGAUAAGGAGGUGAUCUUAUAGACCAUGUAAAAUAUAUAACUUACAAGGUGGAUCCCAUAGAGAGCCAAUAGGUGGAAACUAUAGAAAGCAAAUUGACCAAUGAUGAUGAAAACACCAACAAUUCAUCUAUGAUAGUUUUAAAACAAACAGUUCUAUCUCUGAAUUUCAGUCAAAAUCAGAAAAGAAAUUUGUAUAGAUGCUUGGCCCUUAAGAUCAACAAGCACCUCAUUACUUGCCAAUGUCUUAUUUACGCACACUAAGUUAAAAUAUAAGAAAAUUCAGAAUAGAAAUAUGAAAAAUUCACCAUAUGAAUAUAUGUGAGAAAUGAAGGCAUCUCACCGGUGUAUUUCCCAUUCCUCUCAUAGUCAUCCAGAAAGUGAGACACAACUGUUGUUGGAAUCACAUAUCCAAUAUUCUCAGCUUCUUCAGAU
rnacentral:misc_RNA from 1 species